rnacentral:rRNA from 1 species
AGUAACACGUGGAUAACCUACCUAUAAGACUGGGAUAGCUUCGGGAAACCGUAGCUAAUACCGGAUAAUAUUUUGAACCGCAUGGUUCAAAAGUGAAAGACGGUCUUGCUGUCACUUAUAGAUGGAUCCGCGCUGCAUUAGCUAGUUGGUAAGGUAACGGCUUACCAAGGCAACGAUGCAUAGCCGACCUGAGAGGGUGAUCGGCCACACUGGAACUGAGACACGGUCCAG